rnacentral:rRNA from 1 species
UACAGAGGUCCCAAGCGUUGUUCGGAUUCAUUGGGCGUAAAGGGUGCGUAGGCGGCGCGGUAAGUCGGGUGUGAAAUCUCGGAGCUUAACUCCGAAACUGCAUUCGAUACUGCCGUGCUUGAGGACUGGAGAGGAGACUGGAAUUUACGGUGUAGCGGUGAAAUGCGUAGAGAUCGGGAGGAAUACCAGUGGCGAAGGCGGCCUUCUGGACUGACACUGACGCUGAGGCACGAAGGCCAGGGGAGCAAACGGG